rnacentral:rRNA from 1 species
UGCCAGCAGCCGCGGUAAUACGUAGGGGGCGAGCGUUGUCCGGAUUUAUUGGGCGUAAAGGGCUCGUAGGCGGUUUGACAAGUCGGUCGUGAAAGCCCGGGGCUCAACCCCGGGACGCCGGUCGAAACUGUCAUGACUAGGGUCCGGUAGAGGUGAGUGGAAUUCUCGGUGUAGCGGUGAAAUGCGCAGAUAUCGAGAGGAACCCCAGUUGCGAAGGCGGCUCACUGGGCCGGUACCGACGCUGAGGAGCGAAAGCGUGGGGAGCAAACAGGAUUAGAUA